UCCUGCCCUAUGAUUAAUUAAAUGGCUGCAGUAUUUUGACUGUGCAAAGGUAGCAUAAUAAUUAGUCUUUUAAUUGAAGGCUUGUAUGAAUGGUUAAAUGAGGGGUUUGUUUUAUUAUUUUUAGAUUUAAAAUUUGAUUUUUGAGUAAAAAAGCUUAAUAAAUUUUUUGGGACGAUAAGACCCUAUAGAACUUUAAAUUUUUAUUUAAUUUUAAAUAUUUUAGUUAUUUGCUUAUUUUGUUUAUUAAGAUUUUUUUGUUGGGGGGACAAAUAAAUAUUAACUUUAUUUUUUAAAUUCAUUUUAAUUAAUGUUUAAUUGAUCCAAUUUUUGAUUAUAAGAUAAAGUUACCUUAGGGAUAACAGCGUAAUUUAUAUGGGGAGUUCAUAUUUAUAUAUAAGUUUGCGACCUCGAUGUUGAAUUAAGAUAAAAUUAAGGGGUAG
rnacentral:rRNA from 1 species